rnacentral:rRNA from 1 species
UACGUAGGGGGCAAGCGUUGUCCGGAAUCAUUGGGCGUAAAGAGCGUGUAGGCGGCCUGGUAAGUCCGCUGUGAAAGUCCAGGGCUCAACCCUGGAAUGCCGGUGGAAACUGUCAGGCUCGAGUCCGGAAGAGGCGAGUGGAAUUCCUGGUGUAGCGGUGAAAUGCGCAGAUAUCAGGAGGAACACCGGUGGCGAAGGCGGGUCUCUGGGCCGAUACUGACGCUGAGGAGCGAAAGCGUGGGGAGCGAACGGG